GAUGAACGCUGGCGGCGUGCCUAAUACAUGCAAGUCGAGCGAACAGACGAGGAGCUUGCUCCUCUGACGUUAGCGGCGGACGGGUGAGUAACACGUGGAUAACCUACCUAUAAGACUGGGAUAACUUCGGGAAACCGGAGCUAAUACCGGAUAAUAUAUUGAACCGCAUGGUUCAAUAGUGAAAGACGGUUUUGCUGUCCCUUAUAGAUGGAUCCGCGCCGCAUUAGCUAGUUGGUAAGGUAACGGCUUACCAAGGCAACGAUGCGUAGCCGACCUGAGAGGGUGAUCGGCCACACUGGAACUGAGACACGGUCCAGACUCCUACGGGAGGCAGCAGUAGGGAAUCUUCCGCAAUGGGCGAAAGCCUGACGGAGAAACGCCGCGUGAGUGAUGAAGGUCUUCGGAUCGUAAAACUCUGUUAUUAGGGAAGAACAAAUGUGUAAGUAACUAUGCACGUCUUGACGGUACCUAAUCAGAAAGCCACGGCUAACUACGUG
rnacentral:rRNA from 1 species